UGCCGGAAUAGCUCAGUUGGUAGAGCAGAGGACUGAAAAUCCUCGUGUCACA
rnacentral:tRNA from 1 species